rnacentral:snoRNA from 12 species
GUCUGUAGAAAAUCACCUUCAGCCUCUACCGUGGCAGUGGGUGAGAUCCGGCACCUAAAGCCAUCAGGGCCUUAGCUCACAGCCUGCCCGCAGUGCGCGCAGAUGAAGCCCAGGCCCCGACACGC